AGAGGGAAACAACCCAGACUACCAGCUAAGGUCCCUAAAUCUUACUUAAGUGGAAAACGAUGUGAAGUUACUUAAACAACCAGGAGGUUGGCUUAGAAGCAGCCAUCCUUUAAAGAAAGCGUAAUAGCUCACUGGUCUAGUGAUUUUGCGCGGAAAAUAUAACGGGGCUAAAGUAAGUACCGAAGCUGUAGACUUGCGCACAACUUAGAUUAUUUAAGUUUAGAAUAUGAGAAACUAAGUUAUAUGUUUAGUUAUAUUUUUACUGAUUUUUAUAGAGUAAAGAUAGAAAUAAAACUUAGUAAAAUCAGUAAAAAUAUUCUUAGACUAAAGUUAAGUAGUUUAAGUUGUGUGCAAGUGGUAGGAGAGCGUUCUAUUUGCGUCGAAGGUAUACCGGUAAGGAGUGCUGGAGCGAAUAGAAGUGAGCAUGCAGGCAUGAGUAGCGAUAAUUAAUGUGAGAAUCAUUAACGCCGUAAACCCAAGGUUUCCUACGCGAUGCUCGUCAUCGUAGGGUUAGUCGGGUCCUAAGUCGAGUCCGAAAGGGGUAGACGAUGGCAAAUUGGUUAAUAUUCCAAUACCAACAUUAGUGUGCGAUGGAAGGACGCUUAGGGCUAAGGGGGCUAGCGGAUGGAAGUGCUAGUCUAAGGUCGUAGGAGGUUAUACAGGCAAAUCCGUAUAACAAUACUCCGAGAACUGAAAGGCUUUUUGAAGUCUUCGGAUGGAUAGAAGAACCCCUGAUGCCAUCGAGCCAAGAAAAGUUUCUAAGUUUAGCUAAUGUUGCCCGUACCGUAAACCGACACAGGUGGGUGGGAUGAGUAUUCUAAGGCGCGUGGAAGAACUCUCUUUAAGGAACUCUGCAAAAUAGCACCGUAUCUUCGGUAUAAGGUGUGGUUCGCUUCGUAUUAGGAUUUACUCCGAAAGCGAAGAAACUUACAACAAAGAGUCCCUCCCGACUGUUUACCAAAAACACAGCACUCUGCUAACUCGUAAGAGGAUGUAUAGGGUGUGACGCCUGCCCGGUGCUCGAAGGUUAAUUGAUGGGGUUAGCAUUAGCGAAGCUCUUGAUCGAAGCCCGAGUAAACGGCGGCCGUAACUAUAACGGUCCUAAGGUAGCGAAAUUCCUUGUCGGUUAAAUACCGACCUGCAUGAAUGGCGUAACGAGAUGGGAGCUGUCUCAAAGAGGGAUCCAGUGAAAUUGUAGUGGAGGUGAAAAUUCCUCCUACCCGCGGCAAGACGGAAAGACCCCGUGGACCUUUACUACAGCUUGACACUGCUAUUUGGAUAAGAAUGUGCAGGAUAGGUGGGAGGCUUUGAGUAUAUGACGCCAGUUGUAUAUGAGCCAUUGUUGAGAUACCACUCUUUCUUAUUUGGGUAGCUAACCAGCUUGAGUUAUCCUCAAGUGGGACAAUGUCUGGUGGGUAGUUUGACUGGGGCGGUCGCCUCCCAAAUAAUAACGGAGGCUUACAAAGGUUGGCUCAGAACGGUUGGAAAUCGUUCGUAGAGUAUAAAGGUAUAAGCCAGCUUAACUGCAAGACAUACAAGUCAAGCAGAGACGAAAGUCGGUCUUAGUGAUCCGGUGGUUCUGUGUGGAAGGGCCAUCGCUCAAAGGAUAAAAGGUACCCCGGGGAUAACAGGCUGAUCUCCCCCAAGAGCUCACAUCGACGGGGAGGUUUGGCACCUCGAUGUCGGCUCAUCGCAUCCUGGGGCUGGAGCAGGUCCCAAGGGUAUGGCUGUUCGCCAUUUAAAGCGGUACGCGAGCUGGGUUCAGAACGUCGUGAGACAGUUCGGUCCCUAUCUGCCGUGGGCGUAAGAAGAUUGAAGAGAUUUGACCCUAGUACGAGAGGACCGGGUUGAACAAACCACUGGUGUAGCUGUUGUUCUGCCAAGAGCAUCGCAGCGUAGCUAAGUUUGGAAAGGAUAAACGCUGAAAGCAUCUAAGCGUGAAGCCAACUCUAAGAUGAAUCUUCUCUAAGCUCUCUAGAAGACUACUAGUUUGAUAGGCUGGGUGUGUAAUGGAUGAAAGUCCUUUAGCUGACCAGUACUAAUAGAGCGUUUGGCUUAUCUUUAAUAAAGCAU
rnacentral:rRNA from 1 species